GCCAGUGUGGCAUAGCGGUAUGAGCACUGGACUAGGACUCUGGAGCCUAGGAUUCGAAUCCCCGCUUGGCCA